rnacentral:rRNA from 1 species
AUUGAACGCUGGCGGCAUGCUUUACACAUGCAAGUCGAACGGUAACAGGGUGCUUGCACCGCUGACGAGUGGCGAACGGGUGAGUAAUGCGUCGGAACGUGCCGAGUAGUGGGGGAUAACGCAGCGAAAGUUGUGCUAAUACCGCAUACGUACUGAGGUAGAAAGUGGGGGACCUUCGGGCCUCACGCUAUUCGAGCGGCCGACGUCUGAUUAGCUAGUAGGUGAGGUAAAGGCUCACCUAGGCGACGAUCAGUAGCGGGUCUGAGAGGAUGAUCCGCCACACUGGGACUGAGACACGGCCCAGACUCCUACGGGAGGCAGCAGUGGGGAAUUUUGGACAAUGGGCGAAAGCCUGAUCCAGCCAUGCCGCGUGUCUGAAGAAGGCCUUCGGGUUGUAAAGGACUUUUGUCGGGGAGGAAAUCCCCAGCGUUAAUUCCGCUGGGGGAUGACAGUACCUGAAGAAUAAGCACCGGCUAACUACGUGCCAGCAGCCGCCGCAGUAA